GAGGAUGAUCAGCCACACUGGAACUGAGACACGGUCCAGACUCCUACGGGAGGCAGCAGUGGGGAAUAUUGGACAAUGGGCGCAAGCCUGAUCCAGCCAUACCGCGUGGGUGAAGAAGGCCUUCGGGUUGUAAAGCCCUUUUGUUGGGAAAGAAAUCCAGCUGGCUAAUACCCGGUUGGGAUGACGGUACCCAAAGAAUAAGCACCGGCUAACUUCGUGCCAGCAGCCGCGGUAAUACGAAGGGUGCAAGCGUUACUCGGAAUUACUGGGCGUAAAGCGUGCGUAGGUGGUCGUUUAAGUCCGUUGUGAAAGCCCUGGGCUCAACCUGGGAACUGCAGUGGAUACUGGGCGACUAGAGUGUGGUAGAGGGUAGCGGAAUUCCUGGUGUAGCAGUGAAAUGCGUAGAGAUCAGGAGGAACAUCCAUGGCGAAGGCAGCUACCUGGACCAACACUGACACUGAGGCACGAAAGCGUGGGGAGCAAACAGGAUUAG
rnacentral:rRNA from 1 species